rnacentral:tRNA from 1 species
GUACACGUAGCUCAGCUGGAUAGAGCGUCUGACUACGGAUCAGGAGGUCGAGGGUCCAAAUCCUUCCGUGUACA